rnacentral:rRNA from 1 species
UGGGGAAUAUUGGGCAAUGGGCGCAAGCCUGACCCAGCAACGCCGCGUGAAGGAAGAAGGCUUUCGGGUUGUAAACUUCUUUUAAGAGGGAAGAGCAGAAGACGGUACCUCUUGAAUAAGCUCCGGCUAACUACGUGCCAGCAGCCGCGGUAAUACGUAGGGAGCGAGCGUUGUCCGGAUUUACUGGGUGUAAAGGGCGUGCAGCCGGGAGUACAAGUCAGAUGUGAAAUCCCGCGGCUCAACCGCGGAACUGCAUUUGAAACUGUAUUUCUUGAGUACUGGAGAGGCAGACGGAAUUCCUAG